rnacentral:rRNA from 1 species
UAAGGAAUAUUGGUCAAUGGACGCAAGUCUGAACCAGCCAUGCCGCGUGAAGGAUGAAGGUCCUCUGGAUUGUAAACUUCUUUUAUCUGGGACGAAAACGGGAUUUUUAUCUCAAUUGACGGUACCAGAGGAAUAAGCACCGGCUAACUCCGUGCCAGCAGCCGCGGUAAUACGGAGGGUGCGAGCGUUAUCCGGAUUUACUGGGUUUAAAGGGUGCGUAGGUGGGCUUAUAAGUCAGUGGUGAAAUCUCCGAGCUUAACUUGGAAACUGCCGUUGAUACUAUGGGUCUUGAAUUAUCUGGAGGUAAGCGGAAUAUGUCAUGUGGCUGUGAAAUGCGUAGAUAUGACAUAGAACACAAAUUGCGAAGGCAGCUUACUACAUAUAAAUUGACGCUGAGGCACGAAAGCGUGGGGAUCAAA